rnacentral:rRNA from 1 species
AUGAAGCUGGAAGAAGCUGUCCUAAAAACAGAUGACAAAACUGAAACAGGGAAGAGGAAAUGUGGUAUGUGCGGCGAGAUUGGGUCAGGGCACAAUGCUAGGUCGUGUCCAACAGAAUUUCCCAAAGAUGAAAAGAAACAACUGAAUAAAAAAGUUAAAAGGAUAUGCCAGGGAUGCAAGCAAAUUGGGUCACUACACAACAUUCUAAGUUGUCCAGUGAUCAAAGCUGCUUUGGAGAUAGCAAAGAAAAUAAAUCAGAAAUCUAAGAAGAACAAUAAUAUGUCUACUGCAGAAGAUGAUGAUGAUGAAGAAGAAGAAGAAGAAGAAGAAGAAGAAGAAGAAGAAGAAUAUGAACAGGAAGGAGAAGAAGAAAAUGAAGAGGACACCGAAGAAGAGGAAGAACGAACACCACCUCCCCCACCCAAAAAACAAGAUACAACAGCAAUAAUCAAGCGCCAAAACAAACACCAACAAGGAGUAGCUCUAGAUUAA